CAGCAGUAGCCGCGGUAAUACGAAGGGGGCUAGCGUUGUUCGGAUUUACUGGGCGUAAAGCGCACGUAGGCGGAUCGAUCAGUCAGGGGUGAAAUCCCAGAGCUCAACUCUGGAACUGCCUUUGAUACUGUCGAUCUGGAGUAUGGAAGAGGUGAGAGGAAUUCCGAGUGUAGAGGUGAAAUUCGUAGAUAUUCGGAGGAACACCAGUGGCGAAGGCGGCUCACUGGUCCAUUACUGACGCUGAGGUGCGAAAGCGUGGGGAGCAAACAGGAUUAGAUACCCGCGUAGUCCCUGUCUCUUAUAC
rnacentral:rRNA from 1 species